CUCUGAAUAGACACAGCUUCCCAGAAAGAGAGAGUGUGGAGGAACAAUGACAGUGGAGUCAAAUUGUUAAGCCAUUUGGGAGUGUUUCUUCACUGUACAGUCAUAUGGCAAAAAAAAAAGUGAAAGAAAUUCUGCUUGCCACAUCCUUGUGCCUCCUACUCAUAUGAGCUAAUAAAGCUGUGCGGGAA